AUAAUCAUUAGCCUCUUAAUUAGGGGAUAGUAUGAAUGGUUGAACUUUAAUAAGUUUUAUUAAUUUUAUUGUUUGAAUUUUGACUAUAAGUGAAAAUACUUGUAUUAGCCUAUUAGACGAUAAGACCCUAUAGAUCUUUAAUAAUUGAUUUUAUAAGUAGUUUGGGGGAAUUAUUUAUAAAAUUAAUUAUUUUAACUGGGGCAGUUAAAGAAUAUAAUAAACUUCUUUUAAUUUAAUUUUAAAAAUAUUAUAUUAACUUAGGUUUUAAAUGAGGAAUAAGUUACCUUAGGGAUAACAGCGUAAUUAAUUUAGAGAGUUCUUAUCGAUAAAUUAGAUUGCGACCUCGAUGUUGAAUUAAGAUUUCUAAUUAGGGCAGUUUUUAAUUAAGAUGGUUUGUUCAACCAUUAAAUUCUUACAUGAUUUGAGUUCAAACCGGCGUGA
rnacentral:rRNA from 1 species